UAUAAAGCUCUAAAUUUUUAAAUUAAAAUUAAUUUAACUUUUUUUUGUGAAAAGUACUAAGCUAGCGCUUAUCGUCACAUCUACGACAAAACAAUAACAACCGAGCAGCAACUCAAAGAAAUACCGCAACCAGCGGCAUCACUGUAAUGGACGAACUGAAUGAUGAGCUUACACACACAGAUCGUAGGAUUAUUUAAUUUUUUAGUCGGACCCCAAUUUUGUUAAAGUUGUUGCGUGUGGUAUAUUCUCUACAGGCGGAAAGCAGUCAACAUUUUGUACAAACAUACAACUAGUUAUGAACCAUUCGAGGAAGCAAACCCAUAAAUUAGGGUCAUAUACACCCGGAAUAAUUUUAGCUAAAUUUGCUUUCAGUUUAUUUUGGCACAUUGAAAAGUGAAGCAAGCGGAUGCGGCGUGAGAUUGUGCUUGAAGUAAAACAAUUUAAUCUACAAAGGACGGCGUUGGUAAAGAUAAGAAAUCUAUAUAUGCGGGCAGAUAAUUAUAGUAAUGUAUGCAGUGUAUCCGUUGUCGUAAGAAAGUGGAAGUAAACAAAACCAUGGAUUAAGUGCUGAGCCAAAUUGAAAUGAAGUAAAGAAGUGAACAACUUCGGGCAGAGUCGAAUUUUACACAGCCGAAGUGAUUUAGAGCUCCAAAGAGCAUUUAAAUGCUCGCAAAAGUGAGAGUGAAAGUGAAAUUAUUAGAUUCUGCAAGAACUUCAGAAAAGCCAAAUCAAAUUAAAGUCGUAUAGGUUGGGUCAAGAACUAAAAAACCUGUCACCAUGGAUUGCGAUUAUUUAUUUGUUAAGUUUACUGACUUAUCUAAAAUAUACUCAUCUGAUCAAUACCUAUUA